rnacentral:rRNA from 1 species
UACAGAGGGUGCAAGCGUUGUUCGGAAUUAUUGGGCGUAAAGCGCGUGUAGGCGGCUUGGCAAGUCGGGUGUGAAAGCCCUCAGCUCAACCGAGGAAGUGCGCCCGAAACUGCUAAGCUUGAGUGCCAGAGAGGGUGGCGGAAUUCCCGAAGUAGAGGUGAAAUUCGUAGAUAUCGGGAGGAACACCGGUGGCGAAGGCAGCUCUCUGGGACGGUACUGACGCUGAGACGCGAAAGCGUGGGGAGCGAACAGG